rnacentral:lncRNA from 1 species
CCUUCUGCAGCAUUUAUUAUUUGUAAAUUUUUUGGUGAUACUCAUUCUGACCGGUAUGAGGUGAUACUGCAUUGUGCUAUUGAUUUGUGUUUCUCUAAUAAUUAACAAUGUUGAGCAUCUUUUCAUGUGCUUAUCAACCAUCUGUAUGUCUCCUUUGGAUAAAUGUCUAUGUAGAUCUUCUGCCCAUUUUUUGACUAAUUGGGUUUGUUUUUGAUGUUGAGUUAUAUGAGCUGUUUGUAUAUUUUGGAAAUUAACCCAUUGUCAGUCACAUCAUUCACAAAUAUUUUCUCCCAGUCCAUAGGUUGUCUUUUCACCUAGUUUACUGUUUCCUUUGCUGUGCAAAAGCUUUUAAGUUUGAUUAGGUCCCAUUAGUUUAUUCUUACUUUUAUUUCUUUGGCCUUGGGAGAUCGAUCUGAGAAAAUACUGCUAUAAUUUAUAUUCAAGGAUGUUUUGCCUAUAUUUUCUUCUCUGAGUUUUAUGGGGUCAUUUCUUAUAUUUAGGUCUUUAAACCAUUUUGAGUUUGUUUUUGUAUACAUGUGAAGAAGUGUUCUAAUUUAAUUGAUAUAUAUGUGGCUGUCCAGCUUUCCCAAGACCACUUGCUGAAGAGACUCUUUUCUCCAUUGUGUAUUCUUGCCUCUUUUGUUGAAGAUUAAUUGUCCAUAAGUGUGUGGGUUUAUUUCUGGGCUCUCCAUUCUGUUCCAUUGAUAAAUAAAUAUAAAUAUAUAUAUAUAUAUAUAUUCCAAAACCAUGCUGUUUGAUUACAGUAGUGUUGUAGUAUUGUCUGAAGUCUGGGAGGGCUAUGCCUCCAGUUUCAUUCAUUUUCCUAGGAUUGCUGUGGCAAUUUUGGUCUUUCUUAGUUCCAUAUAAAUUUUAUAACUAUUUUUUCUAGUUUUGCAAAAAAUUUCAUAAUAAUUUGAUAGGAAUUGCAUCAAAUCUGUAUAUUGCUUUGGGUAGAAUAGCCAUUAUAACAAUAUUAAUUCUUCCAAUCCAGGAACAUGGGAUAGCUUUCCAUUUCUUUAAAUCAUAUUCAGUUUCUUUUAUCAAUGUUUUAUAGUUUUGCCCUGAAAAGAAAAAAAAAAAAAAAAAAAAAAAAAAAANUAUUAAUGUUGUAUCCUGCUGCCUUGCUGAAUUCAUAUAUUAUUUCUAGUAGUUAUUGUGUGGAGUCUUUAGGAUUUUAACAGUUGUAUCUCUUCCCUUACAAUUUGGAUACCUUUAAUUUCUUUUUCUUGUCUGAUUGCUGUGGCUAGAACUUCCAAUAUUAUGUUGCAUAGCAGUGGUGAGAGUAAUCAUCCUGUUCCAGAAUUUAGUAGACGCUUUCGGCUUUUAAUCAGUGAGUAUUGUAUUGGCUGUAGGUUUGUCUUAUUAUGUUGAGAUGAAUUUCUUCUACACCUACUUUGAUUAGAGUUUUUAUCAUCAGUGGAUGUUGAAUCUUAUCAAAUGCUUUUUCUGCAUCUAUUUCUUUUCUGUCUUUCUCUAUUUUUAGGCCACAUCUUUGGCACAUGGAGGUUCCCAGGCCAGAGGUCCAAUCAGAGUCACAGCUGCCAGUCUAUACAAGGGCCACAGCAACGUGGGGUCCAAGCCACGUCUGUGACCCACACCACAGCUCACAGCAAUGCCAGAUCCUUAACCCACUGAGUAAGGCCAGGGAUCGAACCUGUAUCUGUACGGAUGCCAGUCAGAUUUGUUAACUGCUGAACCACAACAGGAACUCCUUUUUCUGCAAAUAUUGAUAUGGUCACGUGGUUUGUUCUCUUAUUGAUGUUAUGUUCCUUUUUAAAUUUAAUGUUAAUUUUCGUUAACAUUAUACACACAUAUAUGUAAGUGUCAAGUACUUUUAUAAGACUUAUUAUUAAAAAUAGGAGCUAAUAAGUCAUGCAGUGCUUCCCACUCCUAUUGCACACUCUCAAAUCCAAUCUUUUUCAAGUUUUCUGAUUCUAUUAGUAUUUAACUACGAGUUUCCAAAUAACAGACUUAUGUUGCUACAUGAUAUUUCAAUUACAGAUGUUAUCUGUUAGCUUCCCAACAUGCAAGAUGGGGACUUAGCAAUCUAUAGGUUGUACUCCACCUCUAGAACGCGCGUGUGCACACGCGCGCGCACACACACACACACAUACACACACACACACUUGUAGUGUUCCAUCUGUCCACUAUAGUGGUGUUGUAAGUCAGAUCAGUAGCCAAUGUUUCCUUCACCAUGACUGUAUAAAUGCUGUAAGCAGCUAAGUUGCAUAGAAUAUCAAGAAUACUUUUCCUUGGAAUUCCCUGGUGGCUUAGUGUGUUAAGGAUCCGGUAUUGUCACUGCUGUGCAUAGGUUUGAUCUCUGGCCCUGGUGCAGCCAAAACAAAAACAAAAACAAAAUUUUUCCUUUCCACUUGCUUGGGUUUUAGUGUCCUUAUCACUAAUCAUAUCCAAAUUCUGCCACAGUUGUGUAAAAGUUUCUCAAUACAUCCAAACACAUUAGUAGUUGUUGAUUUCAUUCUCUUGAGAUCUCUCCCAGAGCUCUCUGACCUACUCCCACCUGGCCCUGGGGAUUACAUGACUAGACUAUUUCCUAAGGAAACUUCCAUGUGGGCCUUUCCUUUUGGACUGCUUAGAUGUCCAGAGAAGACUCCUCAGUCCCUUCCUUGUAGACUAUAUGUCGGGCUGCUGUGUUCUGGAAGGAUAGUGGAACACAGAAAUUUGUUCAGCCCAUCAAUAUUCCUUACCUCCCUCUGUUAGUACAGCAGUCUCCACACCUCAACUCUCCCUGCAUCUCCAGCUCAGAAGCUCCCUGUUUUCUGUCUCUGGAAAAUAAAUCUCUCCUGUCAUAUACUGCUUAGAAGAAGGAGUUAAGUCACUGCAUGGCACAGGGAGAGUGGGAGUGGCGGAGAGGGGCAUCUACCUGCUUCUACACCCUCUCUGCCAACCCUCCCACCUGAGCCCCACCUCCAUGCUCACUUGCAGAGGUACUAGGACCACCAGUUCCUGCCCUUGCUCUCUGUUCCCAAGAAGCUCUGGGAGUUGUGCCACAGCAGGCUUCCCAUGGGCCUUGUCCACCUGGUCCACCAGCUCAGUCACCAGUCCUUCACGGGCUUUGCUGUUUUCACCUUUUCCCAUCUCUUUGUUUUUGUGUUAGUGGGUUUCAAGAAGAAAGGAAGCUAAAUACAUGUGCCCAAUUUCCCAGUUUUAGCUCUAAACCCAUUCUUGUCCUUUCACCAGCAUGUUCUGGAGACAUUUUCAAACCCCAAAUGAGUGAUCUUAUUCCUGAGCUAUCUAGAAGCUGUAGGUGAGUUUGAGGAGAAGAGGAGAACUUCAGUUUGCUCUGUGUGAUCUACGAACACGUGCACAUGCAGUACACACACGAGUACAAGCUCAGCCCAGUUGUCCACUAUGCAUCAUCAACAGCCAAUGUGGGCUGAGUGUUUAGAAUCAGCUCCAGAUUCUUAUUUUGUUGUCCAUGUAAUUUUCUUUCUUUCUUUCCUUUUUUUUUUCUGGCUUUUUAGGGCCGCAUUCGCAGCAUAUGGAGGUUCCCAGGCUAGGGGCUCAAUUGGAGCUACACCUGCUGCCAGCCUACACCACAGCUCACGACAACGCCAGAUCCUUAACCCACUGAGAGAGGCCAGGGAUCAAACCUGCAUCCUUAUGGAUGCUAGUCAGACUCGUUAACCGCUGAGCCACGGCAGGAUCUCCAUGUAAUUUUCUUACAUUCCCCAAUUCUCUCUUCCCGCCUCGCUCCAAUGUAUUCUUUUUCCUUGUAAGUUUUUUAAGUUUUAUUGUAGUAUAGUUGAUUUAUAAUGUGUUAAUUUCUGCUGUGCAGCAGAUUCGGUUAUACAUAUACAUGCAUUCAUUCAUUUCCAGAUUCUUUUCUCAUAUAGAGUAUCACAGAAUAUUGAGUAGAGUUCCCUGCGCUAUACGGCAGAUCCCCUCUCCGAUUUAUUCUUGAUAGCAUAAAGUGUUCCCUUUAAAAAUGAAAAUCCCGGGAGUUCCCGUCGUGGCGCAGUGGUUAACGAAUCCGACUAGGAACCAUGAGGUUGCGGGUUCGAUCCCUGCCCUUGCUCAGUGGGUCAAGGUUCCAGCGUUGCCGUGAGCUGUGGUGUAGGUCGCAGAUGCGGCUCGGAUCCUGGGUUGCUGUGGCUCUGGCGUAGGCUGGCAGCUACAGCUCCGAUUAGACCCCUAGCCUGGGAACCUCCAUAUGCCACGGGAGUGGCCCAAGAAAUGGCAAAAAGACAAAAAAAAAAAAAAA